rnacentral:rRNA from 1 species
GGGGAGUAGCUCGGCGAAGACCGGAGUUAAUACCGCAUACGCCCUCGAGGGGGAAAGGUAGGGGGAGUCUUCGGACCGUCCACGUUAUUGGAGCGGCCGAUAUCAGAUUAGCUAGUUGGUGGGGUAAAGGCCUACCAAGGCGACGAUCUGUAGCUGGUCUGAGAGGAUGAUCAGCCACACUGGGACUGAGACACGGCCCAGACUCCUACGGGAGGCAGCAGUGGGGAAUUUUGGACAAUGGGCGAAAGCCUGAUCCAGCCAUGCCGCGUGAGUGAAGAAGGCCUUCGGGUUGUAAAGCUCUUUCAGGUGGAAAGAAAGCGGAUGGGUUAAUACCCUGUCCGGAUGACGGUACCACCAGAAGAAGCACCGGCUAACUACGUG